UACGGGGGGAGCAAGCGUUGUUCGGAUUUACUGGGCGUAAAGGGCGCGUAGGCGGUCGUGACAAGUCACUUGUGAAAUCUCCGGGCUUAACUCGGAACGGUCAAGUGAUACUGUCGGACUAGAGUACAGAAGGGGCAACUGGAAUUCCCGGUGUAGAGGUGAAAUUCGUAGAUAUCGGGAGGAAUACCAGUGGCGAAGGCGGCGACCUGGGCCAAUACUGACGCUGAGGUGCGAAAGCGUGGGGAGCAAACAGG
rnacentral:rRNA from 1 species